GAUAUUUGCUCGAUAUUUGCCGGUUUUUUUUCGAUAUCGAUACCGAUAUCGAUAUUUUCCCAACUUGAAAUCAUUAACAACGGCCACAACGCUAACAAUAUAAACAUUGAAUAAUAUAUGUCAGUGAUUGCAACCAACAUAACCAGAAACUCCCAUCCUUCCCGUGGACCAUUAUAGCACCAUAGAAAAUGAACUAUUUACGCCUAUUUAGGCUUUUUGGUAUCAUUUUCAUGAUGAUGCCGCUGACCAAGAUGAAAAAAUAUCGCGGGCGCAGAAAUAUCGAAACAUCGAUAUUUCUUGCCAGUAUCGAUACUUUUCUUCAAAACCCUGGUAUCGAUAGUAUCGAGUAUUUGGUAUCGAUAUCGGCCCAUCCCUAAUAUUCGGAGCAGAAAUACAAAAUUCGGCACUAAAUGUCGAAUUUGAAAGAUAGAAGCUUGAAAAUAACACUAUACGUGUUAUUUUUAACUUCUUAAUCCACCAAGACGAUCAGAAUGAGCAUUAAGUAUAUAUAUAUUAAGUAUAAGUAUAUAUCAGAACCUGUAAAUAUUAGAUAUCUUUUAGAAAUACAAGACAGAAAUAUUUUUAAGGCUUCUGUAAAUCAGAAGAGUGUCAUAGUCGACUUGAUACCAAGAAAAAAAUCCACAAGCUACUCUUUGAGGACAGAGUUUAGUCAGUAUCCAAGAGUGAACACGGAAC